GCCGUUGCAACGAGCUGCAUUGCUGAUUCUUCGCUUGGCUGAGACUGGCAAUUGUCGAGUGUGUUGCACCCGUUGUUACGUUGGCCGAACACAGUAGUAAAUGUGACCUACAGGGUGCAAGAAAGGUGUCA
rnacentral:lncRNA from 1 species